AAAAAAAAAAAAUCACUGAAGGGAGAAAUUUUCUUCAGUAGUGCAGCCCUGAUAAAGCGUCCAUGCUCCUGUAAUGAGCCCUCACCUAGGCUCCUGCACGCACCCUGAUGACACUCGCUGGGUCACCAAGACAAACAAGAAAAAGACGUGAAAGUAGAAGAGGAACAGGUGACAAUGAGGGGAGCAUCGGAGAAGCAAGAGCUCCCAUGAGAAGACUGAAGUGUGUUUGGUGUCCACCAAAGGAAGCGAAACAUCCUUCUACCUCCCUCAUCCUCUGUGGCCGCGUAGCAACCCUCGGUCCAUCCCAGAAGAAUGUCUGAGUGUGUCGAGUAUAAAUGUGAGGAGUUAUAGCAGAAGCCAGGGACUUGCAGAGAAAGCAAAGCCUGGAAAUCUGCCCUGAGGUAAGCAACCUCUCCCGUGUACACCCACCAUGAUGUCUUGCGCCACCACCGGCCCCACGCAGCAGGACCAAGCAUCAGUGAAUCCACUACCUCGUCAGUAGUGGAUUGCUCCGGGAAUUUCGCUGUAGUGAUGGAAGCUGACAAGCAGCAGGUGUGCUGGUUACUGUCCUGUUGCUGUGAUAAACAGGAAGAAGGGUUCCAGAGGAACAUCCCCACGGCCAGGAAGGCACGGUGGCAAGCGGAAAGACAGCUGUACAAAGCAAACAGAGAGAGGGACCAUGAUGUGGGGUGAGGCCAUACACCAUCAAAGCCCGCCCCCAGUGACAGACUUCCUCCGGAAGGCUCUGCCUCCUUCAGGUUCUGUAACCUCCACACACACAGUGCCUCCGACAGGGGACUGAGUGUUCAGACAAUGAGGCUGCAGGGGGGACAUGUCUCAUUCAGAUCACCAUGCAGGACAGUGUGAGCGAAGGAGCUGACGAUCCUAAUAUUGUUCUGACAGCCCACUAUUGAAAUAACCCACACACUUCCUGGGACACGCUAUUCCCUCCAUGAGGGUGGAGCCCUCCCAACAGAACCACUUCCUAAAGGCCACGCCCCUCAGUGCUAUUGCCAUGGCAACUAAAUUUCAAUCUAAAUGUUGGGGCAGUGGAGGGGGAAACCAAUGAGAACGGUGGCGGCUGGACAGUCGCUCGGGUGAACAGUGUCUUUUGCAAAGAUGGCCUGCAUCUGUGCCCAGACAUGAGCCAGGGAAGAAACAAAAGAUCUGAUAGACCUGCCCUGGGGUGCAGCCGGCUGCCUGUGUCUCCUCUCCACACUGGCCCCUUCCCACUAACCACGAGAAAGCUCAUGCAUUUCCAAGUGAUGCAGAAUGGCCUGUGUGGAGAAGGAAAGCGCCUUCCUUGUUACCUCUCAUGCCCCUUGUCACUCACAUGUCUUAGUAUGACAUGGGUGUGUCCUGACUGCAGCUGAACACAGCUUGAGUAUGGCUCAACACAAAAUCCUAAACCUCUUAAAACAUGAGGAUUUCUUUCUGCCAUUUAUUUUUUUAAAUUCAGUUUCACACUUCUCCAGGAUGGACUUUGUAGAUGACAAUGUUAAGUUGCAAAAUCAGAAGGCUGAACACACCAGCUGGAUCCUGUGUGGAAAAUGGCCAGCAUCCACCCUGUGCCCCAGAGUGGAAGAGACCCUGACCUAGAGGAAAGGCCACAGAAAGGCCCCCAGUUAAAAAGAACUGCAAAGCAGAAAUGAGGAAGGCCAGCCAUGCAGGACAUCACCCAGCAUGGACACAGCCUUGUCAUAAGUCACACAGAGGCAUGCUGACUACAGACAGCUGGUCUUGGUGGCUACAACAUCUGCAGCCACUGAGCCAGUUUCCCGUGGUGCCCAGGCACUAGGGUGGAACAUGAGCCUGUCACGGAGUCAUCCUGAAACAAAGUGAGGUCAGCUCUGCCCCACAGAGCCCAGGCUGGCUCCAAGGUUCUUCAUUCAGUCUAUUAAAAGCCUCAAGUUCCCCGCUGCAUCCUGUUUCUCAUUCAGAAAACGAGUUGACCUCAGGCACACACUCUGUUUCCCUAGGUUGUGUCUGCUUUUUUUCUUGAAUGGAAUUGUUUGGCUGUUUGUUUUGGUUCCUCUUUGGGGAUACCGAGAAAGCCAUGUUCCCCUUUUCCUGGUAUUAAAAGUACGUCAGUGUGAGUAUGGCAAAUAAAAA